CUCUCUCUCGUUCUGUUUGGUCUCUCGGUCCUGCCUGUCUCCAUUCUCUCCUCAGCACUCUCUGGACUAGCAGUAAGACAGAAAGAGGAUCAAUUCUGCUGCAGGUUCCACUGAACCGCAAACUCACCUUUUACAGCAUCUCUCAGUAUGCAGAAGAAGGAGGAGGCCCCCCCAUACCCCGGCCCCCCCAUUUAUUACGGGGGCACAGCAGUGACCCCCCAGCCAGGAUUCCAACCGGGUUACCAGCCAGGCCCAUACCCCACCGCAGGCCCG